GUGAGUGUGAGCGCGACCACAGCCCGGCAGGUCCCGAGGCGCUAGCUGGGACUCUGCCACGGAAAGUUCCCAGUCCCCGGCCGCAGGAUGGGAAGGUCCCUUGGGGCUUCCUGGUAAUGAAUGACCUGAGAGCAACACCGCCACAACCUGCGGGAAAAGGAGAGUCGUUUCCCCGACCCCGAGAUCUGAAGGAUUGAAAUGACACGUUUUGAGGUCUUCAAGCUGACUCAUCAGAAUCCUGGAGCAUUUUUUAAAUGACGGAAGAAAGUCAUUCCUCUUCCUGUUUCAUGUCUCUGUACAAAACUCCAGCUGGAAAAGUGCUGAGGAGUAAUAUCCUGAAUAAAGUAAUAGGGAUAUUGAUCAGGAGUCCCCAGUGUAUUACCCUCCUUCUUUUUCCUGAAGAUCAAAGAACCAAAGCUGCUGCUCAAAUAAAAC